UGAACGCUGGCGGCGUGCUUAACACAUGCAAGUCGAACGAGAACGGUCCUUCGGGAUGUCAGCUAAGUGGCGGACGGGUGAGUAAUGUAUCGGAACGUGCCUAGUAGCGGGGGAUAACUACGCGAAAGCGUAGCUAAUACCGCAUACGCCCUACGGGGGAAAGCAGGGGAUCGCAAGACCUUGCACUAUUAGAGCGGCCGAUAUCGGAUUAGCUAGUUGGUGGGGUAACGGCUCACCAAGGCGACGAUCCGUAGCUGGUUUGAGAGGACGACCAGCCACACUGGGACUGAGACACGGCCCAGACUCCUACGGGAGGCAGCAGUGGGGAAUUUUGGACAAUGGGGGAAACCCUGAUCCAGCCAUCCCGCGUGUGCGAUGAAGGCCUUCGGGUUGUAAAGCACUUUUGGCAGGAAAGAAACGUCAUGGGUUAAUACCCCGUGAAACUGACGGUACCUGCAGAAUAAGCACCGGCUAACUAC
rnacentral:rRNA from 1 species